rnacentral:lncRNA from 1 species
AUUUCAUUAACACAGAGGAAAAGCUUUUAAACUGAGAACUAUGGGGGGGGGGGCAAGAUAGCAGCACAGGCUGGGAACGUGGCUCCCAAGGCUCCAGACACAGCACUCUCCAGUGGAACUGAAAGGUGCUAUCUAUCUGGAAGUAUAGACAUCCAGAAAGAGGCCUCUGGUUGGUUCCGCUUGGAUCAUGGACUAGGAUUAUUUGCUGGCCUGAGAACUCCUGGAUGCAGGGAGGGAAAGCACAGUUGCCAAGCGAGGGAUGCCUACUACCAGAAGGGAGUCUGCUGCAUGAACCGGGCACAUUUCCAGGGGCCAGGGAGAUAA